GAUGAAGAACGUAGCGAAAUGCGAUAAGUAAUGUGAAUUGCAGAAUUCAGUGAAUCAUCGAAUCUUUGAACGCACCUUGCGCUCCUUGGUAUUCCGAGGAGCAUGCCUGUUUGAGUGUCAUUAUCACCCCUCAAGCCUAGCUUGGUGUUGAGGCCUGCUGUCAAGGCAGCCUCUAAAAUCAGUGGCAGUGCUGUCAGGCUCUAAGCGUAGUAAAUCUAAUCGCUAUAGACACCUGGUGGACACUCGCCAGAACCCCCCCAUUUUUUAAUGAUUGACCUCGGAUUAGGUAGGGAUACCCGCUGAACUUAAGCAUAUCAAUAAGCGGAGGA
rnacentral:misc_RNA from 1 species